UCAUAAGCGGUUAAAUCAUCGCAGCGGAAGUUAAUACCAAGAGCAUCUACACCUACGUAAACAGUCAGCGGUACUGGGAAACAUGGCAGCAGAUAUUUCUAGCCAGUUGGACCAUAUUGCAGAUGCCCUGGGUAUAUUGGCAGCUGAAAUUUUAAGACCUGAAGCUGAGAUUGAUCGAGUUGUCAUCAGCUUGGAGAACAUAUAGUGCCUUGACAAUUUUAGCUGCUAUUGCAGAAUUACCUAAUGAAGAGCAUGUUUUUCAUUUAUUGCAAAUGAUAAUUCAGAUGGUGGACCAAUGCAGAUUCAGCACUGUGAUGUCAAGGGAGCAGCUGCUAUUUCUUCUAGAAAACAACUUUAGAGUUGGUGACAUAGCACAAAUUUUUUGUGUUAGCAAGAGAACUGUUCAUAGGAGAAUGUCGGAAUAUGGACUGUCUGUGCGACAGACUUAUUCAGACAUCACAGAUGAAGACCUCCAGCAUGUAAUCUCUGACUUUAUUGCUCAUUACCCAAACGCAGGUAUAAGGACUGUGACUGGACAUCUUAAUUCUCAAGGAAUAAGAGUUCAGCAGUUCCGGGUGCGGCUUCAUCUAAAAGAAGUUGAUCCUGUUGGAAAUUUUAUUCGCGGGCUUCAACUUAACAUUGUCCCAAGAGUGCCAUACUCUGUUCCGGGUCCUCUCUCCCUGUGGCACAUAGAUGGUAACCAUAAACUGAUAAGGUUAGAAUUUUAUUUAUUCUGUUUAUUAACAAAAAGUUAUUUAUUUAUUUUCUUUGUAGCUUUAGAGAAUUACUCAGAUAACAAUGAAAAUACUUGUUAAAUCUUCAACAUCAUCUAAUCACUUGUGUACAUCAAAAGAAACCAUAUAAUAGAUUCUAUUGGAUUUAGUAAUGGGAAUUUUAUUGGUUGUAUUGGAAACUAUAAUGGUCUCUGUUGGUCUCCAUUGGUAUUUGUUGGGUUCUAUUGGUGGGGCCAUUAAAUCCUAAAGGAAUUCUGUAGUGCUUGUAUUGUAAUGGUAAAAGCUUAAGGUUCCUAUUGGUAUUUUAAUGGAAACCAUUAGAAUUUCUGUAAUGGUUUUAUUG